rnacentral:rRNA from 1 species
ACACGUAGGGGCCUGACGUUGUUCGGAAUCAUUGGGCGUAAAGGGCGCGCAGGCGGCCGUCCAAGUCCGGUGUUAAAUGGUCGGGCUCAACCCGAUCAUGCGCUGGAAACUGGGCGGCUGGAGUCCCGGAGGGGAUGCCGGAAUUCCAGGUGUAGGGGUGAAAUCUGUAGAUAUCUGGAAGAACACCGAUGGCGAAGGCAGGCAUCUGGCCGGAGACUGACGCUGAGGCGCGAAGGCGCGGGGAGCGAACAGGUUUAGAUACCCUGGUAGUCCGCGCAGUAAACGAUGCGCACCAGGUGUCGGGCGGCAGCGCCCGGUACCGGAGCAAACGCGAUGAGUGCGCCGCCUGGGGAGUAUGCCCGCAAGGUUGAAACUCAAAGGAAUUGACGGGG